CCAGGAAGCGCCUGCGCGGAGCAGUGGGAAGGUCACGGCCCGGCCGGGCCCUAGCUGUGCUCCGGCCCACGCCAAACUGGAGGACCCUGCUUAAUCCAAGAUCGCCAAUGAGGAGUCAGUAGAGUCCUGAGAGUCAGUUCUAACGCUUCAAGAGGAUUUUAACUCUCUUUCCCCUCUCAGUCCCCAGGAACUCAUGCUCCGCUCGACGUUGGCUUCCGCGGAACAUGAACCUACAAGCUUGAAGCCGCCCCUUCUCCCCACCGCCAGCCCUCACCAGUGUAGUGUGCCUGUCCUCAGUUGAAAGAUGAGCCAAGUGAGAAUGUUGGAUGAAGGAACCAAAUUGAUAUUCAUCAUCCUAUUGAAAACAACUCAGAUCCACAGGUCUUCUGAUGGCAGUCUGUGGCUGAACCAUGUGAAUGAAAGUUGGGCAGGUUCAAGGAAAAGGCAGGAAGUGGGCUUUCUUUGUCACAAGGAAAAGCCAGGAGAUGUGCCCAAGGGAAUGAGGAAAGGCUGGAAGAAUCUCAUGGAGAAAAUUGGUCUGGCAGGGCACAUAGGAUUGUUGGCAACAGUGGUUCCUGAGUCAAUGAGUCGACAGCAUGAUUUCAGCACUGCCUUUGUUCAAAGACAUAGACUGCAACUCAGUAGGAAUAUAGAACUACCAUGGGCCACACAUGUGCAAGACUUUCCUGCCAGUCAGGGGACCAGAGAAAUGCUGGUCUCGCAGAGCCAGCUAGCGUGUCUCUACAUGAAGAUGGCAGCGGACACCUUUUUGAGAACAAGGAAAUCCCAGCGGAAGGAAGGAUCUAUCAGUUGCUCCUGUUUCAUGCCAAGAAUUCUAAUUUAUGUGGUUGGGGUUAUAAUAACCCCCAUUUCACAGUGAUGAAGAGGGUAAGACAUUAUUCCACGGCCACAUGCAGCUGGAGGAGAGAAGGUAUAUGGAAAUAUUCCUUAUGAGUGACACAAAGUGCUAUAUGAAUUCUGAGAAAAAUAAAAUUUUCAAAAGACUUGAUCA
rnacentral:lncRNA from 1 species